CUUAUACUCCCUCCGUCCCAAAAUUCUUGUCUUAGAUUUGUCUAGAUAUCUAAGACAAGAAUUUUGGGACGGAGGGAGUACUAG
rfam:Triticum aestivum genome assembly, contig: Triticum_aestivum_CS42_TGACv1_scaffold_404785_5BL